rnacentral:piRNA from 1 species
UUCGUCUUACUUACUUCAAAU